rnacentral:rRNA from 1 species
GACGAACGCUGGCGGCGUGCCUAAUACAUGCAAGUAGAACGCUGAAGAGAGGAGCUUGCUCUUCUUGGAUGAGUUGCGAACGGGUGAGUAACGCGUAGGUAACCUGCCUUGUAGCGGGGGAUAACUAUUGGAAACGAUAGCUAAUACCGCAUAACAAUGGAUGACACAUGUCAUUUAUUUGAAAGGGGCAAUUGCUCCACUACAAGAUGGACCUGCGUUGUAUUAGCUAGUAGGUGAGGUAAUGGCUCACCUAGGCGACGAUACAUAGCCGACCUGAGAGGAUGGUCGGCCGCACUGAGACUGAGACACGGCCCAGACUCCUACGGGAGGGAGCAGUAGGGAAUCUUCAGCAAUGGGGGCAACCCUGACCGAGCAACGCCGCGUGAGUGAAGAAGGUUUUCGGGUCGUAAAGCUCUGUUGUAAGUCAAGAACGGGUGUGAGAGUGGAAAGUUCACACUGUGACGGUAGCUUACCAGAAAGGGACGGCUAACUACGUG